UACGUAGGGUCCGAGCGUUGUCCGGAGUUACUGGGCGUAAAGCGCGCGCAGGCGGCCGCCCAAGUCCGGCGUGAAAGCCCCCGGCUCAACCGGGGAGGGUCGCCGGGGACUGGGCGGCUUGGAGGCGGCAGGGGCCGGUGGAAUUCCCGGUGUAGUGGUGAAAUGCGUAGAGAUCGGGAGGAACACCCGUGGCGAAGGCGGCCGGCUGGGCCGUCCUCGACGCUGAGGCGCGAAGGCGUGGGGAGCGAACGGG
rnacentral:rRNA from 1 species